AAACUUGAGAGUUUGAUCAUGGCUCAGAACGUACGCUGGCGGCACGCCUAACACAUGCAAGUCGAACGAAGUAGCAAUACUUAGUGGCAGACGGGUGAGUAACAUGUAGGUAUCUACCCUUUGGCCUGGAAUAACACGAGGAAACUUGUGCUAAUACCGGAUAAGUCUUUACGGAGAAAGCUUUAUGCACCAUUGGAUGAGCCUGCACUUGAUUAGUUUGUUGGUAGGGUAAUGGCCUACCAAGACUAUGAUCAAUAGCUGAUUUGAGAGGAUGAUCAGCCACAUUGGGACUGAGACACGGCCCAAACUCCUACGGGAGGCAGCAGUGGGGAAUCUUGCACAAUGGAGGAAACUCUGAUGCAGCGAUGCCGCGUGAGUGAAGAAGGCCUUUGGGUUGUAAAGCUCUUUCGUCGGGGAAGAAAAUGACUGUACCCGAAUAAGAAGGUCCGGCUAACUUCGUGCCAGCAGCCGCGGUAAUACGAAGGGACCUAGCGUAGUUCGGAAUUACUGGGCUUAAAGAGUUCGUAGGUGGUUGAAAAAGUUGGUGGUGAAAUCCCAGAGCUUAACUCUGGAACUGCCAUCAAAACUUUUCAGCUAGAGUUUGAUAGAGGAAAGCAGAAUUUCUAGUGUAGAGGUGAAAUUCGUAGAUAUUAGAAAGAAUACCAAUUGCGAAGGCAGCUUUCUGGAUCAAUACUGACACUGAGGAACGAAAGCAUGGGUAGCGAAGAGGAUUAGAUACCCUCGUAGUCCAUGCCGUAAACGAUGUGUGUUAGACGUUGGAAAUUUAUUUUCAGUGUCGCAGCGAAAGCGAUAAACACACCGCCUGGGGAGUACGACCGCAAGGUUAAAACUCAAAUGAAUUGACGGGGACCCGCACAAGUAGUGGAGCAUGUGGUUUAAUUCGAAGAUACGCGCAGAACCUUACCAACACUUGACAUGUUCGUCGCGACUUUAAGAGAUUAAAGUUUUCGGUUCGGCCGGACGAAACACAGGUGCUGCAUGGCUGUCGUCAGCUCGUGUCGUGAGAUGUUGGGUUAAGUCCCGCAACGAGCGCAACCCUCACUUUUAGUUGCCAUCAUUAAGUUGGGCACUCUGAAAGAACUGCCAGUGAUAAGCUGGAGGAAGGUGGGGAUGACGUCAAGUCCUCAUGGCCCUUACGUGUUGGGCUACACACGUGCUACAAUGGUAUUUACAACAGGAAGCAAAACGGCGACGUUUAGCAAAUCCUUAAAAAAUACCUCAGUUCGGAUUGCACUCUGCAACUCGAGUGCAUGAAGCUGGAAUUACUAGUAAUCGUGGAUCAGCGUGCCACGGUGAAUGCGUUCCCGGGUCUUGUACACACCGCCCGUCACACCAUGGGAGUUGGUUCUACCUUAAGGCAAGGCUUCAAAACCUUGACCACGGUAUAGUCAGCGACUGGGGUGAAGUCGUAACAAGGUAGCCGUAGGGGAACCUGCGGCUGGAUUACCUCCUUU
rnacentral:rRNA from 1 species